rnacentral:rRNA from 1 species
CCUACGGGAGGCAGCAGUGGGGAAUAUUGGACAAUGGGCGAAAGCCUGAUCCAGCAAUGCCGCGUGAGUGAUGAAGGCCUUAGGGUUGUAAAGCUCUUUUACCAGGGAUGAUAAUGACAGUACCUGGAGAAUAAGCUCCGGCUAACUCCGUGCCAGCAGCCGCGGUAAUACGGAGGGAGCUAGCGUUGUUCGGAAUUACUGGGCGUAAAGCGUACGUAGGCGGUUAUUCAAGUCAGAGGUGAAAGCCUGGAGCUCAACUCCAGAACUGCCUUUGAAACUAGAUAGCUAGAAUCUUGGAGAGGUGAGUGGAAUUCCGAGUGUAGAGGUGAAAUUCGUAGAUAUUCGGAAGAACACCAGUGGCGAAGGCGACUCACUGGACAAGUAUUGACGCUGAGGUACGAAAGCGUGGGGAGCAAACAGGAUUAGAUACCCUGGUAGUCCACGCCGUAAACGAUGAUAACUAGCUGUUCGGGCUCUACGAGCUUGAGUGGCGCAGCUACGACAUUAAGUUAUCCGCCGUCGGGAGGUACGGUCGCGAGAUUAAACUUAAAUAGAAGUUAGUACGGCGUGAGACGUGCCGACGGACGACGACGAGGGAGGUUAGG